rnacentral:rRNA from 1 species
UACGUAGGUGGCAAGCGUUGUCCGGAUUUACUGGGCGUAAAGAGCGCGCAGGCGGUCGUUCAAGUCGCGUGUGAAAGCCCCCGGCUCAACUGGGGAGGGUCACGCGAUACUGAUCGACUCGAAGGCAGGAGAGGGUAGUGGAAUUCCCGGUGUAGUGGUGAAAUGCGUAGAUAUCGGGGAGGAACACCAGUGGCGAAGGCGGCUAUCUGGGCUGAAACUGACGCUGAGGCGCGAAGGCUAGGGGAGCAAACAGG